rnacentral:lncRNA from 10 species
AUCCCAUUGCAGUUAAAGGUCGAUGGAUUCAACAAUGUGCAGCAGCCCUUCAAAGAAUACAGACUGUGGUUUCCUCCUGGGAUGACUUCACCAGGACCCUUGGCAACAGUGCUGGUGGAAAGUGGAAAGAAACAGUUACAUGAGCCAUAGAUGGCAGAAACAGUAGCUGGGAAAUUCAAGAUUCAAGAACUUAGUAAUAAACUCCACAUACAGAGAAAUUCUCUGCUGUGGGAAGAAGGGAAGAGGCUUGUUUGCCAAAAGGCUCAAAGGCUCAUUCUCCACAGAAGAAAAACCUCCUAAGUUUCAUCCAAAGGGCUAUUUAUUGAGGUCAUGGCAAGGCAAAAGAGUGGCAGGAGGCAUAGACUAAGGAGAUGAUGUGCAACUCAACUGUCACCAUCUACUUCUAUGCCCGUGGCAGACACCACUAAGAAAUCACAGCAUUCUUCCACUGGACUUCCAAUGGCUCUCAGAAUCCUUCUCCAGGUGCCCAUCAUAAACCUAUUGGCAUUGGCAUGUAAGGUGAAGCCUACAGGUCACCCCUGGGCUGGGAGAAGCAUCUGUAUGUUUGAGAAAAUUUUUCCUGAGGUCAGUUUGGGUGUGCAAGGGAAAACUAUAUUGCAGACUAGAGAUUAAAAAAAUAGACCCCAGAGGACUCAUGACUGUUGCAAAGGCCUUUGUUUUUUCUGACAUAACAGUACAGAGCAAAAUGGGGAUCCAAGUAUGUCUAUGGCACAUCUGUGUUGUUGAAGAAUGUUCUUUUCACUUACUGAGUCCGCCG